CUGGAGUUACUAGUAAUCGCAGAUCAGAAUGCUGCGGUGAAUGCGUUCCCGGGUCUUGUACACACCGCCCGUCAAACCACGGGAGUUGGAGACGCCCGAAGCCGAUUAUCUAACCUUUUGGAAGAAGGCGUCGAAGGUGGAAUCAAUAACUGGGGUGAAGUCGUAACAAGGUAGCCGUAUCGGAAGGUGCGGCUGGAUCACC
rnacentral:rRNA from 1 species